rnacentral:pre_miRNA from 1 species
AUGUUACUCCCUCCGUCUCAUAUUAAGUGACGAAAUAUUACAUGUAUCUAGACACUUUUUGGCUAUAGAUACAUUCAUAUUUGGGCAAAUUUGACUCACUUGAUAUGGGACGGAGGGAGUAGAUU